GGAAAGGAUCCUCCCCUCGCCCUUUUUGGAAUCCAGGGUGGGAGUGUGUCUGGAAUUAAUCCGAGGUCUUAUGCUUUCCAGACUAAUCCAGAAAUAUAGGGAAGCCUCAAUUGCAAGGCAUUUCAUUGGACAGUGUCUUUGCCUUGAAGGCCUUUGAAUCAAUGGAGGGUGCUUCGAACAUUUUCUAUCAUGGAGUAGGACAUAGGACUGCUUGCACCUGGACUAGUUGGGUAUGGAUGUAAUAGAGCCAGAGGGCACCGCCGCUACAGCACUUGACAAUCACUUAGAUAUAGGCAGGAACAUGGCUUUUUGAAAAUCAUUCGGUUUCUUUCAGUGGAAGUGCAUUUAUUUCUCUCUUUCUUUUUCCUUUAAAGAAAAACCUAAGAGGAAUUGACACAUAUUGUCCCAAUCAUGAAUCUCAAGACGUUGCAGAAAUGGGGAGGGUAGAGUUAAAAGAAGCAUUUACUCAUGCUUUUAGUACCAAUGCAUGCUCUAGCUGGCCUCUCCCCCCUUUUCUUUACUAACUUGCAUGCCUUUGUUCUUAGGUGAAAUUGACUGAGAACAGUUUCCCCAUCCAGGCAGCGUGUAUCUUCCGUUUCUCAAGUUCCUGGAUCUGCACAGUAACUAUACUGUGAACAUAAAUACUUCCUAGUGACGUUGGCUCUUUGCUUUGGGCACUUCGUAGAAUGCUUUGGACCAAUCCAGAAAGACAUGGGCUGGGAUCCAGCACGCUCACAAUGAGCAACCCUCCUGAACGCAACCUCCACCCCGACCAUUUGCAAUGACAAGCUACUCUAAAACUCAGGGCACCUCAGGAGAAGUCUUGAGGAGAGGCCACACUGGCUCACAGGUGUCGGUGUAGAAACCAGCCUAAAAAGAUCUUGCAUUCUCCUUGCAUUGCCUUUUGAGGCAGGAACUGAUUAAACAUAUCCUGUUCCGAUGCUGGCUGGGCCUGUAUUCCCUCCUGGCUGUAUUGAGAUGAUUUGAUGCUAAAGCUCCUCCCCCUGUCAAUAUGGCCGUCCUUUGGGGUCGGAGGUAAGCUGCUUUUUCUCCUUCCAGAGCCCCUGAAGUUUCUUCUGACAUCUUUGCAGCUGAACAAUGAAUACUUGGCUGUAGACCCUCCUAUCAUAAAGUUCCAAGGGGACAAGUGAAAAUAAAUAUAAAACUACUUGGCUUUUAACCAAAGAAGGAUAGUUCAAAGG
rnacentral:lncRNA from 1 species